GGAAAGUCCAUUCAAAGCUUCGAUCUGAUCGAUCUUCUCGGGAUUGCUAGCUCGCAUGAAGACCUUCUUCUUGGCUGAUCUGGAUAUCUUUUUCAAAUUUUUUAGAACCUUUUUAGAGAUUGAAGAUAGACUUUUAGAGGAGAUGAAGAGGUGGAAGAAAGAUGGAGAAGAAACUAUGUUCUCUCUUAUUUUUCUCUCUUCCCAAACCCUGAGGUAGAAACCCUAGAAGACUAGGUUUUACCACACCCCAAG
rnacentral:lncRNA from 1 species